UUUCUUUCCUUUCAUUGAAUUUGUCCGGAUCCAUCUUUUCUUCCCCCUAUACAUAUAGAUACAAAUGGUUCAAUAUGAGCCAAAAAAAUUUCAGGAACGUUUGGAAUAUUUCAUUUCCUUAAAUUAUAGUACAUAAAUAAAUACAUCAAUAAUACAAAUUUUAUAGAAAAUAGAAAAAAUAAAAAAGAAGCGAUCGUCAUGAUGAAAUGAAAAUAAAUUGCGGUUCGAAGAACACUCACAUUUCGAUUGUCAAUGAGCUCAACCAAUUUCAAGAUAAGAAAAAUCCUCUUCAGUUUCCCAGGAUUGCUGGACUGGACUAACGAAGAAUUUUGCCUAGCUUUCACCAUGGAAAUCAAGGCUUGACCAUUUCUUUCCUUUCUCAUUUAUUUGUAUCAUGGAGAAAAGGGUUACUGAAAAGCCUGAGUGUGCCAUUACGUUCCACAAGGUCCUGGUUUUUUGACAAUUGGCGAGCUCAGCUGAAAAUAUAGAAAUGAGUUCUGGUGAAGAAAAACCCCACUGGAAUAUGUAUGAUGAUGUGAAGACCAUCUCAACAUCACCUGAAGUGCUUAUGGCUGAGAUUAAUUCUGCCAUUACUGCUCUUGAGUACACUCGUGCUACUGCUUUCUUACAAUCUCGAUCUGCUUCUGCCUCAAAGAACGUAAAGCCUAAUGGAAAGUUGACUUCACAAUAUGAUGCUCAAAUGGCUGAUGAAGCUUACAAGGCAGGGUUAGCUUCCAUGGCUGCAGGGAAGCUUGAUGAGGCUGUCAACUCACUAAAUGACGCUCUUUCCAAAUGCCCGCCUGAUAAGACAUCUGCUGUUACUAAGCUUCAGUCUCUUAUUUCCCUUACAUCCCAACAGCUUCGCAAGUCCCCGGUUGAUUCAGUUGGUACAUUCAAGACUCCUUAAUGUGGUGUUCUGAUGGCUAUUUUCUCAUACUUACCUCAUUUUUCUUUUCCUCUCGAAUUCUGUUUUCUUCAGAAUUUUUCUGUGUCACUGUGUCUGUAGCACAACAGGUAAACUUUCUUUCACACACAUUAGAAAAUUCUGUCAUCCCCAUAAUUGCAGCUUUGGUAUUCUAGACUUCUUUAAGUACUGGAAAACAUGAAGCUAAAAUUGUCUGACUACAUGACAGCAGGCAGAGAAUUGUGGGGAACAAUGAUCUUCCAGAUGUCUUUGUUCCCCAGUUUGUCCAAUUUGCUUGAAAACACAACAGAUGGAACAUUAAUUACUAGAUAUGAGAAUUGCCUCAUCUGCUCAUUAAGAAGAAGUCGUCAUGGUUGACUAGUGUAUUCGUGUGCAAAUUCC